AAGGAGGUGGAGGAGAACGGAACACGAGAGAUCGGCAGCACAGUUUCGUGCUCAGCUCAGCUCGGUUCGGCUCAGCCUCGUAUCGGCCUCGGUCUUUCGAGCCAAAAAAGAUCUACUCUUGGAUACACGCUUAGACCCUCUUCUCUUGCUUGGUGCGUAGUACGCGUUUGCGACGUCGCAGCCGUAUACCGAGAGAUCAUGGAAUCUGCGUGGCAGUUAGCGACGACGGUCGUUUUCUUCUUGGUUCAGUCGAAUUUAUUGCACGCUCAUCGCGAACACAAGGUCCACAACAUAGUACUUUAUCCGGACAAGCACAGUUGGUGCAAAACGACGCCUAUCAAGCAGGUAGUCGCGUGGCCUCAAUGCUCCUCCCAAGAACUCGAUAACAACGUCUGCGUUGGAGCUUGUUUCUCUUACAUGGUACCCCAUAGCGAACCAUCCGCUCCUGGUGAUUUGAUAAGACCCUAUUGCGACUCCUGUCAACCUCUUGACAGCGUUUGGCAUACGGUUACCUUGGAUUGUAAAGACGAGGAAAAUAAUCCAAUGACUAUGCAGAAAAAGGUUCAAAUAAUAACCAAUUGUUCGUGCAGUUCUUGUAUGGAAACAUCUAGAAUCAAGCCCGAUUACAAUACGUUACUUCAAUCGUUGACAGUAGAAAAUUUGGAUAAGAACGUUAACGUUGUCCACGAGACGCCGGAUCUUCUGUUGAAUCCUAAUUUGAAUUCGUCGAAGAAUACCACGAGAGACGGGGUGGAAGCUAACGAAAGAUUUUUGCAAUUGUUCAAGCAAGGAUUGAAAGACUCGGAGAAUUUAGAUGAGAUUGGCGCGAAAGAAUUGUUGAAGAAAUUUGGAGAAGAGAUAGAUAUGGACAAAUUCAGGGAUUUGUUGAAGAAACUUAGUCAAGAGGACGAGAGGCAUCAGGAACAUCAACAAAAUAACAAACAGCAACAACAACAACAGCAACAACAUCACGGUCCAACGACGAUGCUACAUCGGGGUCCUCAUCAUUCGAUGGUUUUGGAUUCCGGUGUGAAGGAAAAGAUCGACGUUGAGCCGCAUUACCUUCAUCCAGCUGUGGCUGGUCAAGAGAUCAGUUAUCACGACAACGUUGUCGUCGACAAGGGCAAGAAGAAAGAUUUUUGAGAUCUCUCUAAGAUCGAAAACGAUCUUCUCGUUUUACGAAAUUGGAUGCCGGCCUGGGUUCUUUUGAACGAGCUGGACGACAAACGAGCGGAUCGUCGUAAGCGAAGGAACGAACGACACUUUUCUUCUUUCCCACGCUGAUUCCACGAGAAUCGAUCGUAACUUCCAAUAAAGAUACUAAAAAAAAAAUCUACAAAACGACAAAUAUAUUGUAAAAAAAAAUCGAGAAAUAUAUCACACGGAAUUGUAAAACUUAA
rnacentral:misc_RNA from 1 species